rnacentral:rRNA from 1 species
CCUACGGGGGGCUGCAGUGGGGAAUAUUGGACAAUGGGCGAAAGCCUGAUCCAGCCAUGCCGCGUGUGUGAAGAAGGCCUUCGGGUUGUAAAGCACUUUCAGUGGGGAAGAAAGCCUUGGGGCUAAUACCCUCGAGGAAGGACAUCACCCACAGAAGAAGCACCGGCUAACUCCGUGCCAGCAGCCGCGGUAAUACGGAGGGUGCGAGCGUUAAUCGGAAUUACUGGGCGUAAAGCGCGCGUAGGCGGUCUGAUAAGCCGGUUGUGAAAGCCCCGGGCUCAACCUGGGAACGGCAUCCGGAACUGUCAGGCUAGAGUGCAGGAGAGGAAGGUAGAAUUCCCGGUGUAGCGGUGAAAUGCGUAGAGAUCGGGAGGAAUACCAGUGGCGAAGGCGGCCUUCUGGACUGGCACUGACGCUGAGGUGCGAAAGCGUGGGUAGCAAACAGGAUUAGAUACCCCAGUAGUC